CCUCUCGUAGAUUAGUGGUAGGGCAAUGGUGCUUAAAGUCAGAAAUCCGGGUUCGAUCCCCGGCGAGAGCA
rnacentral:tRNA from 1 species